GGAAAACGAAGCCACUUGGAGUAGAUCUUUGCUAAGCAAAAGGGAAGAAGAAGUUUAGAGGAAGAUAAAAGAAUUUUACUAGUGUAGCAGGAUGCUGUAGGAUCCUGAAGGACUUUGGGCUUGUCAGAAAGUUGAUCUGCAGGUUCAAAAACAGAUGGAUUUUUGGAGGUGCUGCAUGCUUCUAUCUCCUACAGAAACUGUUCCUGCUGUUCCAUCUCCCACCUCAUUCUCUCCACUCCAAGUAGAAGGUACUUGGGCAAAUGACUGGGAGUUCUCUUGAGAUCAAAUGAUGAGGGCAGCCAUCCUCCAAGGCCUCCUACAGCAGGCUACACAGGUAGGCAUCCAAGCAGAUCUUCAAUAUCUCCAGAGAAGAAUUCACAACUUCCCUGGGAAGCCUGUUCCAGUGCUCCAUCACCCUUACUGUGAAGAAGUUCCUUCAGAUAUAGAACAAUUGAAGACAAGACCAGACCCAGUACUGACCCCUAGGGAGAUGGACCCCCAAAAACCCAUAUUCUCCAAUUUGGAGUCAAGGAUAUCAUGUGGAACUGCAUCUAAUACUUUGCACAAGUCCAGGGUACAGGAUAAUUUUGUUGGC
ensembl:lncRNA